UACAGAGGUGGCAAACGUUGUCCGGAUUUAUUGGGUGUAAAGGGCAUGUAGGUGGUUUUGUAAGUCAAAGGUGAAAUGGCCCGGCUCAACCAGGUCAUUGCCUUUGAAACUGCAAGACUCGAGUUCGGAAGAGGAAAGCGGAAUUCCCAGUGUAGCGGUGAAAUGCGUAGAUAUUGGGAGGAACACCUGUGGCGAAAGCGGCGCACUGGACCAUAACUGACGCUGAGGCGCGAAAGCUAGGGGAGCAAACAGG
rnacentral:rRNA from 1 species